rnacentral:rRNA from 1 species
UGGGGAAUAUUGCACAAUGGGCGCAAGCCUGAUGCAGCCAUGCCGCGUGUGUGAAGAAGGCCUUCGGGUUGUAAAGCACUUUCAGCGGGGAGGAAGGCGAUAAGGUUAAUAACCUUGUCGAUUGACGUUACCCGCAGAAGAAGCACCGGCUAACUCCGUGCCAGCAGCCGCGGUAAUACGGAGGGUGCAAGCGUUAAUCGGAAUUACUGGGCGUAAAGCGCACGCAGGCGGUCUGUCAAGUCGGAUGUGAAAUCCCCGGGCUCAACCUGGGAACUGCAUUCGAAACUGGCAGGCUAGAGUCUUGUAGAGGGGGGUAGAAUUCCAGGUGUAGCGGUGAAAUGCGUAGAGAUCUGGAGGAAUACCGGUGGCGAAGGCGGCCCCCUGGACAAAGACAGACGCUCAGGUGCGAAAGCGUGGGGAGCAAACAGG